AUAUCUCGCAAACCAAUAAAGCUAUAUAAACCCAACUUUCUGCAGUCGGUUCCCUUACUUACCCCACCAUACCCCAUGAAAAUAGUUGAAAUCGGAUAAUAAUCACGCCCACCUCCCAUACAAAGGUUAGGUGGAAAAUUACUAAAGUGCGUUAACUCACUAACGAAUAACAUCAGAAACCCUAAAAUUUGCAGAAGAAAUGGCAGAAGGAAGUUGUACUCAGUGUUUUUACAAAAUGGAAAAUGGGCGUAGCGUCGCCCACUUAUGGGUCAAAAACCAUAUCUCAUGAACUAUUCGACCGAUUUCAAUGAAAUUCGGUAUACAGCAUUUUCCUGACACCCUGAUGACACGUGUGAUGGCUGAAAUCGGUUCACAACCAAGACUACUUUCCAUAAAACUCAAUUUUGAAUUCCCUCUCAUUCUUUCGCUUUAUAAUAUGUGAAAAAACUCAAGCGUUUUUGAGAUGCGAAAACACUAAUACUGGGAUGCUCGAAUAAUUAAAAAGCCUAAUUGCCUGUUACGAAAAAGUAAGAUUCCUAUUAAUUGAAAAUCACGUGCGUACGGUUUCACAGUUUAAUUGUAUCGUCACCUAAAAUGCAAAAGGCCGUAACUAACAAAAUAUUCAAAAUUGACAUUUUGAUUGAUUAUGAAGUACUUAACCGAAACACGUGUACACAGCAAAUUUUACAUGCAUACGUCCAAAAAUAACGACUUUAUAGGCGAGAAUCAGAAGGCCGCAACUACAACUUCAACAAUUUCAUAAACCAAAAAGCCGUAACUACCCUUUUUUUCAUUCUCUUUGAUUCAAUUUCAAUGUUACACAUUGUGUUAUCCGCAAAAAAUCCGGAGAGCCAACUGUUAAUAUGAUCCGUGCCUUGGCAUAUGAUCCAUCUGGAAUAAUUUAUUAUAAAACAAAUAUCAACGACGAUUAUAACGUUUUGCCACAACGUACACAACAAAAAUUUAGGGACAUCGAACCUUCACAGUUACAUACCGAAAGAAUAUCAAUAUCCAAAAAGAAAUGGAAACACCUGCAGGAACUUAAAUUUUUACUUCCGGCUGACUGCCACAGCUUUUAUGAUAAUAUACCCUUUACAUCUUAACCCUUCUGCUAUGUUUGGGUCAAUUUGACGAAAUUUUCAGUAAAACUCGUCGAAAUUCGCUUGUUAGUCUAGUCGUAUUGUAUUGAUUCUUCUUCUAUUUGUUAACUGCAGUAAAUGGAAUAGAUAAAUAUGAAAAUUAAAAUAAUAUCUGUUUUUUUUUGUUGCUGGAGGAUGCCAAAUGUAAUUUCAUUACACUUAUUACGUUGUUGGGUCAAUUUGUAUUUAGAAACAUUUUGCCGUUUAUUAUUACAUCACUCGAUAAAAAACGCCGACAAAGAAAGCUAGUUAUCGGAAAUCGAGUAUAUUUUGCACAGCUCUAUGCUCAGAAAAGAAUCCACCAAAAAACGACAGCGAUGUUUCUUUAGUCAUCAUACAAAAAAUUCGAACAAAUAUUCAGCUGUUUGUAGUACGUGCCAAAAAUUUGUUUGCAAGGAACACAGCAGCUUAGUUUGUGAAAAUUGCCAUUAAAACAUACAUAUCUCAACAAUUUUCUACAAUUAACAUACACUUAAGUUGAUUCAAAUAAAAAAAUAUGAACUCUUUCAAUAAAAUAGUGUUAUUAGUGGAGUUUUUAUAAGUGGGUCAAAUUGACCCAAAACACUAUAUGUCGGCUUACGACGAACGGGCCGAUUUACGGUUUUAAAGAAAAGUUAUAAUUUUGGAAUUCAACGUUAUAAUAAUUCAGUGUAUUUUGUUUAAAAUUAAGUGUACAUUAAGUUUUGAAGGGUAUAUGUGUAUAUAUGUACAAUAAUUGUUAAUAUGUUUACAUACAAUGUAACUUUAAUUUAGUGUUAGUAUAUAUUUAUUUUAUUGACCUGUUUUGCGUAUGAUUUUUCCUUCUUGUGUUGUAUGGUGUUGAAUGUUGUGAUUGUGGGGGAUAUGCUCUCCAAGUUAUUCUCCAAGUGAUUGUUGAAUUGUUGUUCACUUUCCUUUUUGUGUAUUAAAUUUGUGUUUUGAAUAUUUGAUUUGCUUAUUUCACUGUAUAUUGAAUUUGUGUUUUGUUCACUUCAGAAAAAGCGCGGGUGUUUUGUUCGGAUCCUUCCAAUGAUGUCUUCUUUUUCUUCGUGUAAUGUUGUGUUGUAAAAAUUAGUGAAGUUGGUUUCGGUCGGCUUAUCUUCUUUGCAUUACUGUUCUAUUACUUUUCGGAGUAAUUGAAAGUAAUGCAGAGGAGUUUUUUGUUUGCACUAAACAUUCCGGCCGCCUUGCAG